ACAGUAUGUCCAUGGGACUCUCCUUAUGUUUUGCUGUUGCAAUUGACUUUUUUUAACAGCUUUGUCCUAAAGAAAAUAAAAGCUUAAGUUUAGGAAAUCAAGCUGAGACGGCUGCAUUUUUCAAACAUGGUCGAAAACAGAAAGUCCUGCUAGAAAUCUAAUCUUGGCUGCCUUGGGAAUCUUCACUAGAUGCUGAGAAAGGCUUUUACCUCUUUACCUUAAUUAUUAGAAAGGUGUGUCUGAGGUUUCCAGGGACAUGAAGAUGUUGGUUCAGUUCUAGCGCUUGCUGUGUAAUGCGGAAACAAAGCAUUAAGAGAUGCCUGAUGGAUGAGCGUUGUCUCCCCCACCCCGUUAGAUUAGCAGUAACUACAAAGAUGGGCUUUGAGUCCAAUAUCAAAGUCUUUUAUUUUUAAGACUGUGAUACAUAGUGAGCUUCACUGCCUUCUGAAACCUCCAGGCCAGGGAAUGUAUCUAUAAUGAAGCAAGAGCACUGUUGCCUUUACCAGCUAGCACUUGGUCACUUUAGAAUGUCAUUUUGGCUUUCUUUUCUAUCAGGUAAGAGACAUACCACCCCAACUUUCUGUCUGAAUACCGAGAAAUUCAACAGCCUUCAUAGUGGUCUGUGAUGCCCCAAAGGAUCAUGGCUGCAGCUUGACUCUGCCUGCUCUUUUAAAGUCUGUGAAGCAGGGGAGAGAGGCUCAAGCCAGAGUGGAACUGCACAGCAAGAAGCCAGGCAGCUUCACACGCUGAGCCACCAAGCAAGUCAGUGAAUCCUGCCCUACUUUCACUUCGCUUCCUGCACUGUGUGGAAGUCUGAGCCUCUCCUCACAGGCAUAGAAAGGAAGCAAUCCCCUCUGCACAUCUCCUAAGACGGCCUUUAGUUAUAAAGAAGAAUUAAUUUUUACACAGGAAAUGGACAUUAAGCUGAUGGUGCCUCUCGUGUGGAGGAGAUUGGAGUUCCAGGAUCUGAGCUGGAGAAUCCCCAUUGCUGAACUGUGACUGACAAAGCUUCUGUGAGAGGGACAGUCCAUGGAGGUUUGCAGUGAGCAGGCUGCUGUGUCGCCUGUCCUGCAGUCUACCCAAGUCAACACUUAAUCCACCUUCACCUCAUCACCAGAGUAACCUCCCUCUGGGAAGGUGGAAGGUACACAGACGAUGUAAUGCAUGAGGAAGUCUGGCAGGAGAAUGAAUUUGAAGAAUUAGGCAACACUCUGAAACUAAAGAGCCAGCAAGCCUUGAACCAGUGGUGAUAAGUGGGAGUUGUAUAUGAGCAAGAUGAAACUUACUAUGGGUCACAAAGAGAACUGACUGGUGACCACAGUGAAUAAGAACUCAAUGGAUACUUGAGGUUUACUGGAAGAGUAAUGGAGGGUGUGUGGUAGAAAUAUAUUCAUGUAUGAAGAGGUAAUAAUCUGCUAGUAAAGUACAAAUGGAAUCAGUAUAGAGCUAAGACUUGGAUUCGGGCUUUUUUGUUUUUUUGUUUGUCUCAAGAUUUUUCUGUAUUCAAAUGUGAAUCUUUUUAUUACUGAGUAGUAUUCUACAGUACAGAUCUACCACAGUUUGUAUAGCCACUCACCUAUUCUGGAUUAAUUCUAGUUUUGUUUUCUUUGUU
rnacentral:lncRNA from 1 species